AGACGCCUACCCCUCCCAAGCCAGAGGGAUCAGAGGAAGGGAGGAAAACAAUAGCAAAAACCAGGGCCCCUCGGACUUGCCGCUGAACGGGGAUUUUCGUCGGAUGUUGAGUUUACCUGGAAUGCCCCGGUGUUAUUUUGGGAAGGCAGACAUCCCACGGAAACAAUGAAGUGGAAAAGAAAACAGCUAAAGCAAAUUCUAGAGCCCAGUUUUUGCCAAACCAGCCCCACGUGGCCUGGGUAGUCUCUGGAAGCCCAAGUCAGGCUGAUGAAGAGCGGCUGAGGCCGUGGGUGUCUGGUUUACCAGGAGGGCACAUGGAGGAUGCAGGAAAAGGAAGAGCCAUGUUCAAGUCCCCACAUCAGUGAUGAGGCCGAAAGACCCCGCGCCUCGCCACGUGGGAAUAGCUUACAGUGAGCGGUGAUGCCGCCUGGCCUGAGCUAAGUGCUGGACUCCACCAUUCAUUAGCUGAGUGACUUAGUUGAGGAGAGAAUGAGCCACAUCUUUCCUGAAACGUCCAGUGGAGCUCGCUGGAGAACCUGCAAGAGCCGGCAAACCCAGGAGCUUCACCGUCCAUUCCUGGAAGCAGACUUUGUGUCUUCGUCCACCAAGGCCCUGGCUCUCAACACUCACGGUGGUGGCAAGAACAUGGCACCUUGACCAUACACAGUCCUUCUAUUUUUCAGAAGCAGGGAAGCGCUCCUCUCCCGUCUGAGGGCUGUCGUUCCAGCCAAGAGAUCAGCACAAUGGACUCUGGGAUGGACAUUGUUCUCCAACAGGCCUGGCCCUGGCCCAGCUGGGGCUCAUCAUCUCUCUACUACCUCCUUCCACGCUGGACCAAUGGAAGGGCAUGUGACAUGGUGUGGCAGGGACUCAGGGGUCCAGAAGUUCCCAGAUAUGUGCAGCUGUGGAAUCUGCCACCAUGCCCCCCACACAACCAGCCUCUGCAACCAGACGGAGAGAUGAGAGGUGUUCCAAUAACAUGUAAAACGUGGAAGUCGAUAGCAGCCAUCUUCUGCCAUCAUAAUUGGGAAGAGAGAAAGCC